UGAGGAAUAUUGGUCAAUGGGCGCGAGCCUGAACCAGCCAAGUAGCGUGCAGGACGACGGCCCUAUGGGUUGUAAACUGCUUUUAUACGGGGAUAAAGUAUGCCACGUGUGGUUUAUUGCAGGUACCGUAUGAAUAAGGACCGGCUAAUUCCGUGCCAGCAGCCGCGGUAAUACGGAAGGUCCGGGCGUUAUCCGGAUUUAUUGGGUUUAAAGGGAGCGUAGGCCGGGUUUUAAGCGUGCCGUGAAAUGUCGGGGCUCAACCUUGACACUGCGGCGCGAACUGGAGUCCUUGAGUGCGCGGAACGUAUGCGGAAUUCGUGGUGUAGCGGUGAAAUGCUUAGAUAUCACGAAGAACCCCGAUUGCGAAGGCAGCAUACGGCAGCGCUACUGACGCUGAAGCUCGAAGGCGCGGGUAUCGAACA
rnacentral:rRNA from 1 species